GACGAACGCUGGCGGCGUGCUUAACACAUGCAAGUCGAACGGAAAGGCCCUGCUUUUGUGGGGUGCUCGAGUGGCGAACGGGUGAGUAACACGUGAGUAACCUGCCCUUGACUUUGGGAUAACUUCAGGAAACUGGGGCUAAUACCGGAUAGGAGCUCCUGCUGCAUGGUGGGGGUUGGAAAGUUUCGGCGGUUGGGGAUGGACUCGGGGCUUAUCAGCUUGUUGGUGGGGUAGUGGCUUACCAAGGCUUUGACGGGUAGCCGGCCUGAGAGGGUGACCGGCCACAUUGGGACUGAGAUACGGACCAGACUCCUACGGGAGGCAGCAGUGGGGAAUAUUGCACAGUGGGCGGAAGCCUGAUGCAGCAACGCCGCGUGCGGGAUGACGGCCUUCGGGUUGUAAACCGCUUUCGCCUGUGACGAAGCGUGAGUGACGGUAAUGGGUAAAGAAGCACCGGCUAACUACGUG
rnacentral:rRNA from 1 species